AUUCUUUUCUCUUUUCUUUUCUUUUCUUUAUUUACCUAUUUCUUUUAUACAUCCCGAAAAACAGUUUCACAAAACGCAAAGCUCACUCUUCUCACACUUCUCCGAGCCAAUGUUUGUCUCUCUGAUAAUUAUAUGCUCAUUUCAUGCGAUGCGUUCCAUCAAUGCAGAAACCUAGGGCUACUGAAUCUCUCCGCGAAUAAAUUCAGAAGGAAGGGAAUGUAAAGUCAUUGAUCGUUCUAGCAUUCGCUUACGCGAUCUGUCGAUUCUUGUUGAUGCUCAUCGCUUCCAGUGUGCCUUCUAUCGACGUCGACGCCUCCGAUGUGUUGGAUAGGAACCAAGCGCAGCAAAACAGCUUCAUAUAUGUUAAGGAUCCUGUUGCAUGAGCAAGGAAGGCUAAGAAACCUGGGCAAAAAGUAACAUUAAGAAAAGGUGUCAGAUGCCACGAAUUCUUCUGGAACACAUCAUUGAACUCCAAGAGCUUAUUUGCGUUUAAGGGCUCUAGUCACGCAUAUCUGUUCUUCUGGAAGAUCAAUGCUACACAAGAAAUGUAAAGUAGUUCCAUCCCCUUGGUGUUACUGUUGCCAUUGUUUCAUGGAACUAUCCCUUCCACGCUAUUUUAAUCCAAUGCCGGCAGCAGUCUUUUCAGGCUAUAGUGUUGUGAUUAAGGUUUUCAAGCAUGCAAGUUGGUCUGGCUAUUUCUACUUUCGAAUAAUCCAAGUAGCUCUUGCUGCCGUUGGAGCUCCUGAAAAUGCGGUCGACAUAAUUACAGGUCUGCAGGUAAGUUCAGGAGAGCGGCAUCAACGGCUUUUGUACGCUCUCCUCCUUCUGCCCUUCUCAGGACUAGAUAAUAACGUGUUUCUUUAGAAGCAUGAGCAUAGUAUAGGACUUUUACUCGGAAAGUUUGGAUGACAUCUUUUAUGAGCAAUUGCUUGAAUCCACAAGAUAAAUGCUGAAACCCACUACAAGAUAAAUUUUUGAUGAUAGAUUAACUAUUAAAUUAUCGAA